UUUGGCUUUACUUUGCAUGUUUUCAGAUUUCAAAUUCGGUUUUGGUACCGUGAUAUAUAUUAGUAGUUUUCGUUGAUAAGUUUCUCCACAUGUCACAAGACUCCCGUGUAACUAAAUUUAUUGAAGAUAACUCCGUGUAAAUUAAUAAUAUUGGUAUAGCAAAAGAUCAUGACCACUUUGUAUAUGAUAUAAAGAUUUUAAAUUCAUCCCGGGUGAGUCAAGAUUCCUUCCACACGGGAAUAAAAUUGAUGUAUAAAAUAUUGCAUCAUCUUAACGAUUUUUUUUUUUUUUGAUUUUAAUAAAUGCUACUAUUCUAUUAAUAUGUUUUUGGUUAUAACUGGAUAUAAAGUCAAGCAAUUAGUAAUUUAAAUCCAUAUACAGAUAAUCAUGUACUCCAUCCAUCUGUUUAAAUAUAAGAUGUUUAGAAAAAAAAUACAUAUUAAGAAAAUUGUUUUUUUUGUCUAGAAAUUAUCAUUAAAACUAUAAAACAAUUGUAUUCAACCAAUUACAAAAUAGAUUAUUG
rnacentral:lncRNA from 1 species